rnacentral:lncRNA from 1 species
AAUUGUUUAUAUCUAUUGAUGUAACAAAUAAUACUUAAUAAAAUCUGAUGAAAACAUAAAAUUUGUAAAAUCUUUAGUUCAAUUUAAAACAUUAAAUUUCUUGUAAAAAAUAGGUUCCAUGAAUGUCAUACGUUUGUACUAUUAUUGAAUGGUUGCAAGGAUGAAAGCACAUUAGCAGUCCCUGAGAUACUAACUGUUCCCUGAGGCAUAUAUCAUUUUAUGAUAACAUUUUUACUAUCUAAGCUAUGGAUAAAAAUCAAAUACUGUUUUUGCAUAUAGGAUGUUUUACUCUUGUUAAAAUUGGUUGCAAUUGAAAUCACAAAUGAUACCUUAGCAUUGCAGAUUUUUUAUAGAGUGCGGUUUCGGUGGAAGGGUUGAGCGCAAUAAAAAAUGUUAUAAAACAUAACUAGUCUACAAUAGCACAUAAUAAGUGAACAAGUGACAACAUGAAAAUCCUAACAUGUGACUAAAUAUUCCUUAAAUGUUAAAGGGUGUCAUUUUAUGAAAAAAAAUAAGGAAAUCAAGUCUCCUAAACAUUUAUCAAUAUGAUCAUCUUGUGAAUAUUCUAAACAAUAAAAAGGUAAUAAUCAUUAUCCACCAUAUUAAGCACCAUUUGAACAACUUUUGCAUACAUCUUUGUAUAAUUUAGUAUGGAUUCCUUACUGUGUUCAACAGAAUCUAACUAUGAGCAAUAUACCCCAAGAAAAUUACCUUCUUUCAAACUACUAUAAAAUUUGGAAAUCAGCCAUAGAAUUACUAAAACCCA